AGAGCGAACGCUGGCGGCAGGCUUAACACAUGCAAGUCGAGCGGGCGUAGCAAUACGUCAGCGGCAGACGGGUGAGUAACGCGUGGGAACAUACCUUUUGGUUCGGAACAACCCAGGGAAACUUGGGCUAAUACCGGAUAAGCCCUUACGGGGAAAGAUUUAUCGCCAAAAGAUUGGCCCGCGUCUGAUUAGCUAGUUGGUGAGGUAACGGCUCACCAAGGCGACGAUCAGUAGCUGGUCUGAGAGGAUGAUCAGCCACAUUGGGACUGAGACACGGCCCAAACUCCUACGGGAGGCAGCAGUGGGGAAUAUUGGACAAUGGGCGCAAGCCUGAUCCAGCCAUGCCGCGUGAGUGAUGAAGGCCCUAGGGUUGUAAAGCUUCUUUGUGCGGGAAGAUAAUGACGGUACCGCAAGAAUAACGCCCGGCUAACUUCGCGCCAGCAGCCGC
rnacentral:rRNA from 1 species